GUUUCUGACACAGCAGUCCUGAGGAGUGAGUCCUGGUCCUUUGUUCAGCGAGAUUUUAUAGGUUUUUGGAGAUACCCUAUGUGUCACAACAUCACACAGCAAAUCAUUUCACACUGCGGGAAAAUCAAACAACAGCUCUUAACAUUGAUUAGCACAUUCACUGGCAGGAACAAGUUGGGUAGGGGUGAUUGGUUGAGAGGGAUUCAUUUGAACUGAUUGGUUUAAUCUGUGUUGGGUGUACAUGCUAAACUAUAUGGUUUCCUAACAUGUUAUCAACCACCAAGACUACUGGAGGGGUCAUCUGGCAUCCCAGGUAUUUUUCCUGUCUCAUGCUAAUUGGUGGUUGCUAGGGGGUGUCAGGGACACCUGGCAUGGCAGAUCUCUCCAGUUAUUUAUAGACAAACAACUCAGCAGGGUGGCUGUGUACCUAGGAGUGCUCUGUGGGUUUUUCCAAGGACAAGGGUCAGGCCCCCUCCCUUUGGACAGGCCUUGAGGUAGAAGCUGGGUUUUCAAAAACCCAAACUGGAAUAUGAUCCUUUCCUUGAAGUGCCCUCCUCUUCUUCCAGGCCUGAGGACUGCCAGGGGUGAGCUGGACUCCAGGUGAGCAGUGUGAUGGACUUCCAGAUGCUGAACUCCAAGGAGUGUUGGCCAAGCCCUGUGCUGGCUGCCUAUUGAUUCUGCAGACCCUCCAGCAAGGUACACUCCGGGGUACAGUUUCAGUUAAAGAGCACCCCCCAGAAAAAAAAGGUCUACUUGUUUUUAACAUAUAACAUUUGAGACUUUAGAAAAACUGAAACAAGCCAAUAUUUUUUAAUUCCCAAGAGCACAAAAGACUAAGGAGAGAAAACAAGUCUCCUGGCCACAAACACUGGUCUCAAGAGGCAUCCACCAUUGACAAGUGCCAAUGUGAGGCGAUAUUCUAAUAAUGGCCUCUCUGUGCCUGUUCUUCCUUCUGGACAGUGGGGAUAAUGACACAUUAUGAGGUGCUUGAGGGCCAGGUGAGCGGAUCUUUGCAAACAGGGAGGUCGUAACUUACAGCCUUCCCUCCCACUUUACAGACUUGUCACUACCUGCUUCCAGGAGAUGGUGCCUGCUUUACAAACCGGCCUAAUUCCUCCCAAACGCUGCAGAGCAUGCUGGUGCCUGAGAGGCUUCUUAUGCAAUUGGUCCCCGUGGGGCAGGAGGGUUACUUCUGUCUCUGGAACCCACCAGCACUUGCCACAACAGGCAUGAGCUAAAGGUGGCGCGAGAGGGGAGAGGGUGCGUUUAGACUUUGAAUAAACCUUCCUCAUCACCUCCAGAGGAUUUCCACCCAACACCCCCAGCCACUGCGGAGAGGUUUCUGGCCUCACCCUGAAGGGCCUGGAUUCCUCACCUACAAACAACCGCGAUCACGGUUGCAUAAUUAGAAUCGCAACUUGGCAAAGAGAAAGAAAAGUUGCCCUCUGCCAGAGCAAGACAACCAGCAGGCGGCAAGGUGGUUUUAAUAUAGAACAUACAGAUUUUAAAAACAGAGUGCCCUUUCUUUUUACAUGGUGGAUGCUAUGUUCACGAUGCGUAUGUUAUAUAAUCGUGACACUACGAAAUACAGCCCCACAGCACUCCUGGCUGCACACACAGCGGUCCUUUGCACCGGAAGGUGAGGGAGCAGGGGUGCCAAGGAGCUUCUCCUUGUCCGAUGGCACCCUCUCCAUCACCUCCCGAGUCCUACUGCUCCCGUUUUACCGAUGAGGAAACUGAGGCAAGGUCAGGUGGCCUGUCAGAAACCUCACGGGGCUGGCAGAGGGAUUCCAUCACAACUGUGCCUGAGUCUGGACGUCCGGGGGACACGGGACCAGCGCACACCGCCCCACUCCACCCGGCUCCAGCACCCACCGCCCCGCCCCGCGUCCGCAGCCCCAGCCCCGCGAGUCCCUGCCCCGGAGGCGUUCCACCGCCCCCCAGGAAGCCCUGAGCCCCUGAAGGCGGCUGGGCAGUUCCUGGGGACCGGGCGGGUGGACCGCGCCAGCUAGGGAGACGCCGGCAGGACGAGGAGCGGCUCGGCCCGGGGUGGCCACACAGGCUGGGCUAACCCGAGGGGCCUGUUGGGGCAACCUCCCACUAGGGCCACACGGGCAUCCCACAGUCCAGCUUCGCAGCUGCUGCCCUCCAGCUGGACACCUGGACUCGCC
rnacentral:lncRNA from 1 species